rnacentral:rRNA from 1 species
GCACUUUGAAGAGAGAGUUAAAGAGGACGUGAAACCGAUGAGAUGGAAACGGACAGAGCUAGCGUAUCUGGCUUGCAUUCAGCUUAUGCGGUCGCUACCGAUGCGUCGCUGACCUCCAGAUUGGGGCUUUGACUAGUCGGUCGGUGGCUGUGUUGUGCAUUUGCAAGUGGAGUGCGUCGAGGCAUCUGGGAUGGCGGAAUGAACUUGGCUUUGAGGCCAGCUUGCUGGUACCCGGGCCUGGGGAUUUCUGUUCGUUCUAGGUGUUUUUACGGUCGAACAAGGCUUUGCGAGCCUGGUUGGGUGCCGAGCUGGGUGUCGGUGGCGGUCGCAUGCGACACGUACUGUGCCACCAGUUCGGUCCUGGCCGAGCUCACUCCAUGUUCAAUCUCGGCGUAAAAGCUGGUCAUCUUUCCGACCCGUCUUGAAACACGGACCAAGGAGUUUAUCGUGUGCGCGAGUCAUUGGGCGUUGAAAACCCAAAGGCGCAAUGAAAGUAAAUGUAUCCGCUCGGAACUGAUGUGCGACCCUGGUCACUGCGGUGGCCAGGAGCAGCAUGGCCCCAUCCUGACUGCUUGCAGUGGGGUGGAGGAAGAGCGUACGCGAUGAGACCCGAAAGAUGGUGAACUAUUCCUGAGCAGGAUAAAGCCAGAGGAAACUCUGGUGGAAGUCCGAAGCGAUUCUGACGUGCAAAUCGAUCGUCUGACUU